UUGGGCCGCGGUGCUCCUGGGGCGGUUCUGAGGCUGUCCUGUCCAGGGCUGUGUUCUUUUUCUUUUCUUUUCCUCACUUGUUGGCUCCGACUUCUGAGGCCCCUCUACCGCCUUUUCCGCAGAUUGGUACCAGGGUAACCAAGUGGCUUGUGACCCUGCGGGAGGGGCUCCCGUUAAGUUUUGCAGAGAAAUUUAGAAAUGAAGCACGUGGAGCGUCUCUGUUGGGAGAGAAAGGGGCGCAGGCAGCCGCUUGGUGGCAUCCGGGCGCAUCCUGACAGCCUCCCAGCGCGGACCUGGCCCCAGGAGCAAAACCACAGCGCCGCCCUUGGCCAGAAGCUCCCAGAACGGGGGAACAGGUGUUUGAGGCUAUGAAGACACCAGAGGGAACUCAGCCCGGAGGAGAGAAGCUGCUGAAGGUUUUCGGGAGUAAGGAACCUCCACUCCAGGAUCGUGUUAGCCAUGCUAAAGAAAUUCAGACUUUAUUCUACAAGGAGUGGAGAGAGCUCCUGGAGGAUUUCUUAAAGUGGGACUAACAUAUUUGCAUUUUACAAGAUGACCCUCCAAAUUGAACCGCUGAUGAGAGCAAAUUGGCGAAACUUUAAACCACAGAUUGGUAAUUUAAUCCAAGAAGCCUGUGAUAGGGGUCAAGGCUAUUCUUAAUUUCAUUCUGAGGGAAUUUUAAGUGAUUACAGUUCUUUUUGUAAAGCUAAUUUGGCAGUCUUAUUAAAUUGUGU